GGCGAGAUAGCUUAGUGGUUAUAGCAUCCGAGCGUUCAUCGGGAGGUCGUGGGUUCAAUUCCCGCUCUCGGCA